UACAUGGGGUGCAAACGUUGCUCGGAAUUAUUGGGCGUAAGGCGCACGUAGGCGGUUCGUUAAGUCGGAUGUGAAAGCCCUCGGCUCAACUGAGGAAGUGCACCCGAAACUGGCGAGCUUGAGUACGAAAGAGGAUCGCGGAAUUCCCGGUGUAGAGGUGAAAUUCGUAGAUAUCGGGAGGAACACCGGUGGCGAAGGCGGCGAUCUGGGUCGAUACUGACGCUGAGGUGCGAAAGCGUGGGGAGCAAACAGG
rnacentral:rRNA from 1 species